AAGCCAUGCGAGUCUAAAGGACUUCGGUCCUUGGCGGACGGCUCAGUAACACGUGGAGAAUCUGCCCUCAGGAGGGGGAUAACCCCGGGAAACUGGGAAUAAUACCCCAUAGGUCUAGGAUGCUGGAAUGCUUCUAGGCUGAAAGCUCCGGCGCCUGAGGAUGGCUCUGCGGCUUAUCAGGUUGUAGUGAGGGUAACGUCCUCACUAGCCUAUGACGGGUACGGGCCCUGAGAGGGGAAGCCCGGAGAUGGACUCUGAGACACGAGUUCAGGCCCUACGGGGCGCAGCAGGCGCGAAAACUCCGCAAUGCUCGAAAGAGUGACGGGGGGAUUCCAAGUGCCUACGCUCAGCGUAGGCUGUUCAGAUGCCUAAAAAGCAUCUGGAGUAAGGGCUGGGUAAGACGGGUGCCAUCUGUGGCAGCAGCCGAAAAUUUGGCUUGCUACUGCAAGGCAUAAGCCGCCGCGGUAAUACCCGCAGCUCGAGUGGUAGUCGAUUUUAUUGGGCCUAAAGCGUCCGUAUCCGGUCUGGUAAAUGCUUGGGUAAAUCGUCUGGCUUAACCAGAUGAAUUCCGGGUAGACUACCAGACUUGGGACCGGUUGAGGAAGAGGGUACUUCAGGGGUAGGAGUGAAAUCCUGUAAUCCUUGAAGGACCACCAGUGGCGAAGGCGCUCUUCUAGGACGGGUCCGACGGUGAGGGACG
rnacentral:rRNA from 1 species